rnacentral:rRNA from 1 species
CCUACGGGUGGCAGCAGUGGGGAAUAUUGGACAAUGGGGGGAACCCUGAUCCAGCCAUGCCGCGUGUGUGAAGAAGGGCCUCGGGUUGUAAAGCACUUUCAGUGAGGAAGAACGCCUGGUGGUUAAUACCCAUCAGGAAAGACAUCACUCACAGAAGAAGCACCGGCUAACUCCGUGCCAGCAGCCGCGGUAAUACGGAGGGUGCGAGCGUUAAUCGGAAUUACUGGGCGUAAAGCGCGCGUAGGUGGCUUGAUAAGCCGGUUGUGAAAGCCCCGGGCUCAACCUGGGAACGGCAUCCGGAACUGUCAAGCUAGAGUGCAGGAGAGGAAGGUAGAAUUCCCGGUGUAGCGGUGAAAUGCGUAGAGAUCGGGAGGAAUACCAGUGGCGAAGGCGGCCUUCUGGACUGACACUGACACUGAGGUGCGAAAGCGUGGGUAGCAAACAGGAUUAGAUACCCGGGUAGUC